CUGGUUCUGUACCAGUAGGAUAUUAUGCAUUGCAGAGAGAGAAUGUUUUUCCUGAGAGACCUGGCCAGCCUGAGUGCCAGUUUUACAUGAAGACUGGAGACUGUAAAUUUGGGGCUGUCUGUAGGUUCCAUCAUCCAAGGGAGAGGCUAAUUCCUGCUCCUGACUGUGUCUUAAGUCCAAUAGGCCUCCCUCUGCGGCAGGGAGAACCUUUAUGCAUUUUUUAUUCACGUUAUGGUAUCUGCAAGUUUGGGCCAAGUUGUAAGUUUGACCACCCUAUGGGAGUUUUCACAUAUAAUUUUUCUGCGUCAACUUCAAAUGAUACUCCAGUACGGCGUCUGCUGGGAUCAUCUUCUGGAACUGCAUUAAAUUUGUCAUCUGAAGGUCUUGUUGAAGCAGGUUCUACAAAACCCAGGCGGCUUUCACUUUCAGAGACAAGACAAAUGCCUUCUGGAGAUGAUAAUAUUGAUACAGAGUGAGAAGGCUUCUUUAAUGGGCGGGUUACAUCCUACAGACUCUGAAGACAAGGAAGAGUAAUCUGUAAAUUCACUUUCCGUGGCUGGAGAUGUAUAGUGUUAAAGCCAGUUGAUUCUGUUAUUCUGAAUGCAAUUCAGUUGGCAGUUGCUUCAACUGAUUUAAUUUUGCUGCAUCGUGUAAAAAUCUGAAAUUAUUUUCACAUUUGGUAAAGCCAAUGUGAACAUUUCAUCUGUCCUCAAAACUCCUCUUUCUGAUUCUGAAGAUAUUUCUUCUCUUCUUUUCUUUUUCCAGUUUAUUGAAUGAAGAAUUUCUUUUCCAACUUCAUGACCAUAGGAUUAUUGGGAAUUCCAAUUUACUUUCCCUGGUAUUAAUGUCUAACCCUGGCUCUUUUUUUCUCAUAAUGGUAGAAUCUCUCUGCUACCUUGUUUUGAUUAUAUGGACUUCGCUUCAUGGUCAUGAUCAUAAUUAUCAGUUUUAUUAUUGUCGUUAUCAUCAUCUUCUUUCUCUUUAUUCUUCUUGCACCGACAUUCCUAAGAUUUCUUUAAUGUUCAAUGAUACAUCAUGCUUCAAACUUUUCUUUUGAUAUCUGUUAUUGGUGAAAUUAGCAAAGGCACUUCUGAAUUUAAUCUUUGUUUCUUACUAAGCAUUCUGCUAAAUAGUUUUGUCAUGCAGAGAAACAUGGGCCAAAUAUUGGUAUGAGCAGGAAAAACUGGGCCUUCCAGAAUCAGUGAGAAGAUGAUGAUUUUAAUAGUAAAAAGUUUCACAGGAGGCUUCAAAUAAGAGAGAUUAUAGUGAUGGAUGCACUGCAACAACUCCUGAUUAUUUGUGCUAAGUACCUUGAAGAACUCAUAGCAGGUACUAUGACAACAUGAAAAAUUGGAUAUUAUCAGUAAAUGAAACAGGCUCUCCAAUAAUUGGAAAGUCGUUGUCAUUCUAGGUGAAGCUGGAAGCAGCUUUUCACUAUUUUUUUCUCUGAUUGAAUUUGUUUUCUUGUAGUUUCACUUAUAUGUAUGUACAAUGGAUUUCUACCCAAAAGCUGGUUAUGUAAUUCAUAGAUAACUUGCAUGGAUAAUUUAAGAUUCUUCUUCUGAUAGAUGGAGAACAAAUUUUUCAAUGAGCAUCUAAUCCAGUUUGAA